rnacentral:rRNA from 1 species
CGACCGGCAAACGGGUGCGGAACACGUACACAACCUUCCUUUAAGUGGGGGAUAGCCCAGAGAAAUUUGGAUUAAUACCCCGUAAGAUAAUAGAGUGGCAUCACUUAGUUAUUAAAGCUCCGGCGCUUAAAGAUGGGUAUGCGUCUGAUUAGGUAGUUGGUGUGGGUAACGGCCCACCAAGCCUACGAUCAGUAACUGGUGUGAGAGCACGACCAGUCACACGGGCACUGAGACACGGGCCCGACUCCUACGGGAGGCAGCAGUAAGGAAUAUUGGUCAAUGGACGCAAGUCUGAACCAGCCAUGCCGCGUGGAGGAUGAAGGUCCUCUGGAUUGUAAACUUCUUUUAUCUGGGAAGAAAUGCAUUUUUUCUAAAGUGUUUGACGGUACCAGAUGAAUAAGCACCGGCUAACUCCGUGCCAGCAGCCGCGGUAAUACGGAGGGUGCAAGCGUUAUCCGGA